rnacentral:rRNA from 1 species
GACGAACGCUGGCGGCGUGGAUUAGGCAUGCAAGUCGGACGGUAGGGCUUUAUCGUAAGAUAGAGUUUGAGAGUGGCGAACGGGUGAGUAACACGUAGGAAUCUACCCGUUAAGACGGGGACAACCCAGGGAAACUUGGGCUAAUACCGGAUUGAGAGUGCGAGAGAUUGCAUUUAAAAGGAUGGCGAAAGUUGUCGCUUAGGGAUGAGCCUGCGGUCUAUUAGUUAGUUGGUGAGGUAAGAGCUCACCAAGGCGAUGAUAGAUAGGCGGCCUUAACGGGUGGUCGCCCACACUGGGAUUGAGAUACGGCCCAGACUCCUACGGGAGGCAGCAGUCGAGAAUAGUCUACAAUGGACGGAAGUCUGAUAGUGCGACGCCGCGUGAACGAAGAAUCCCUUCGGGGUGUAAAGUUCUUUUAUACGUGAGCAGUGCCCUUUAUAUGAAUAGUAUAGAGGGAGGAUUUAAGCGUAUGAAUAAGCAACGGCUAACUCCGUGCCAGCAGCCGCGGU